AGUCAUGUUCACUCUGACUGUCAGUCGGAAAAGAAAAAAAGAGAGAGAAGAUACGCUCAGCACGGAAAUCAAAACAGAGAAGGCUCAAUAUCAGUACCUUUUUUCAACCUCAUUCCCCAGAGUUGUUACAAAACUGCCAUUAAAUAUGUUUGUAAAUGCAUCUCUGAUCCUGCCUGUGCAACUACUACAUCCUACAAGUUUUGAUAAUUUCAGCAGGUACAUUAUAGCUGUAUUUGAGAGAAGGUUGAGGUCUCAGAAGCAGUUACAGUGGUUAGAGUUUUGCAGCUACAGAUGAUCAGUGAAGUGAAACUGCAUACCAUCACGCAUAAACACAACGUUGGACACAAAGAAGCCAGCCUGAGAGGCCUCCUGAAAACAUUUCUGCAACAGGAAUACUUUCAAGAAAUAUUUCAUUUUCUGUCACACCAAUUUUAACAAAAACAGGAGAAAAAGGAAAUAUACAGAACUUACUUUUGUUAUUUCUAUUGAUCGUUUAACUGCUUUUUUUUUUCUUCCUUUUAGAGAUGGCUUAGUCAUUCACUAUUGUUGUAGUAAGACUCCUAAAAACAGUAUAUUGUGAUAAAUUUUAUACAUUAUGACACAUAUUUAUUUGGCUUUAUAGGGGCUCCAUGUGAUGAGUUUGACAAGCUUCCCUGAUGUGACUGAGGCUCCUUCAAAUGCAGUUUCACAUGACUUAAUUUUAAAAACUGAUACAGCUAAAAAUUCCUUGGUAUUCAGUACAUGAAAAUGUCUACAUCCUGCUUGUUUCAGUCUCAAAUUGAAUACUUCUAAGCACAUCUGUACUACCAUCUACUGGAAAGGCUUUCCCAAUUUAUUCUUCAAGGACUUACACAGGCAGAUGCAGAGAGAGAUGUGCAGGAAUGUAAGGUCUGGCAUGAGGUUGAGCAUAUCAGAAAGUCUUGUCCAAGUCUCCAAGUGAGUUUCAACCAGAUAUCAGUUCAUUAAAGCCUUGCUGUUUGCUUUAGAUUUGCAAAAAGUGAUUUUAAAAGUGGAAAGAUUUUCUAAUGGUACUGAAUGUCAUCCUAUCAUCAUCCAAAAGAGAAGACAGGUUGGCUGGUUGCUUAAAUGUAGCACUUCAAAACAACUCCUGGCAAGGAGGGAUAAGCAGAUGAAUACCAUGCUUUUUAGAUCUCCACUUACCAAAA